UGCGGAUUCCUCAGACCCAGCCUGGAUAC
rnacentral:piRNA from 1 species